UAUCUAUCUCUCUCUCUCUCCCUGUUUUCCAACUACUUUUCUUUCAUUAUUUUCUCUCUUUACUUGCUGCUUCUCUUUCAUUUCUAUUUCUUUCUUUCUUUCUUCUUCAAUUAUAUCUAUCGAUAAGAACACGAAAACGGAUAGUAAAAAACGUCAACAAUGUUUGUGAAAACAUAAAUUGUGGCGGUGGUUUUGUCUCGUGCGACCGAGAAUAUGACUAAUGUGUCAAGAAAGAUAUGAAGUUAGGGAGAAGAAAAGUAACAACAAGGCAAAUGGUUAAUGGUGUUGUGUUUUUGUGUUUUAAAGGUUAAAAUCCUUUUUUAUUUGUUUUUUUAAUUUGAAUUUUGAGUUUUUGAUGUAGAGGCCAAGAGGAUUGAAGGCUAUGGAAACUAUGAAAUGUGACUUAGAAUAAUAUUGCAAAGGGGAUGAUGGAUCUAUAACAACAUUCAACAUCUAAACUAUUAUGGAAGAUGGAAGAAAAUGGUGAUGAUAUUAUGAGGGAAUGAUUCAAUUUUUUUUUUAAUUUAUAAAUUUUACUUUUUCUUAUCAAUUUUUUUGUUUUGUACGGAAAAACUUAAUGAUUUUGUAAAUUUUAGUUAUGAUUUCAUUUAUUUGAAUGAUUUUUAUAUGUAAUGGUCCAUAAAGAAGAGAUUGAAAAUUAAAAGCAUGAUGAUGUAAUAUUAGUAUAAUCAUCCUUUUAAUCCAUUUUUCAUAAGAAGAGAAAUAAUUUAUCAUACAUUAGAGAUAUGAGGUUUUACUGUGGUUGACCAUCAUACAAAAUAUUAUUUUAUUA